UUCUUAUCCAGAGCGGCUGAGGGACUGGCCCUACGACGCCCGGCAACCUUCUUAUCAUUAUUAGGAAAGGUGCUAAAUCCUGCAGAAGAUAAAUCUUCUGAAAGAUAAGGA
rnacentral:ncRNA from 2 species